GCUGCGCUCCUGCUUCAAGAAAUCAGUCCUUCCUUUCCGACUUAGUCCCCGGGAAGAAGUUUCAGCCUGCGAGGUGUCAUUCAAACGUUUCAAGAUCAUCCACCCGAAUCCAUAAAGAUUGGUGAUCAACCAGAGGUUCACAAGUGGACAUCUGAUUGCGUACCCGUGAGUAGAGUUUAUGUGAUUUUGUUGAGGGGUGGGGACUCUGAUUUUAGAAGUUAUGUAGCUUCUCUGUCUCAUUUUCUAAAUUCUUGCACCUAAAGAUACAUUGUGUAAAACCAAGUUUUCUGCUCUGUCCCUCCUUAGUUUACUUACCAAGUAUACCUAACAAGUUUGGAAGGAAUUGUUUUCCUGCUUUGUAAACUGAUUUUGCUUUAUUUUUUGUUUUUCCUAUAUAUGAUAUCUUAAGCAAAACAGUCCCUGAUCAAUAAGUUCCUACUUCCCAAGAAGAAAUCCGCUAACUUGAGGGAAUAAAAAGAUGACAAGUCAGUCUUUCAGGGUGAAUGAGCUCACUUUGGCACAAACACUGGUGAUUUCAGCAAGUACCCCUCACUUGAAGCAAGUACCCCUCGCUUUCAGCAAGUCCUCCUCGCAUGGGAGACCUUCUCCCAGCAAAAGGUCUACCUGGGCAGCAGGAAGAGGGGAUUUCAGAACGUAGAGGUUGGAGAAACUAAAGGAAACUUCACUCAUUCGCCCUUUUCCUGAGGUUGGCACCAGUAGGGAGAAAAGUAUUGCCAGGGCUGCCAUAGUAAAAUGCCAUAGACUGGAUUGCUUAAAGAGCAGAGAUUUAUUUUCUCAUUGCUCUGGAGGGUGGAAGUUCAAGAUCAAGGUGUUGGCAUAUUUGGUUUCUGCUAAGGUCUCUCUCCGUGGCUUGCAGGUGGCCAUUUUUCCCUGUGUCUUCACAUGGGGUCCUGCUGCCGGCGCCCGUGUCUCUCUGUGUGUCCUGCAUUUCCUCUUCUUAGAAGGACAGUAGUUGUGUUGGACUAAGGCCCAUCCUAAUGCCUUCACCUUAACUUCAUCACCCCUUUAAAGACCUCAUCUCCAUACACGGAUACAUUCUAAGGUAUUAGAGGUUAGGCCUUCAACAUAUGAACGUUGGGGGAACACACUUCAGGCUGCAAGACCCCAUCAUCAUUCUUUUUCUAAUGCGCUGAUUGUAGUUUGUUGCUUACAGACUACCCUCCGAUUCUCCUUUCUUCGAGGACCUUCUCAUUUACAUCACUCUUGGAAUAUUUGGUUUCCCUACAGUGUGUUUCCCUGCAGUAAUCCUUCAUAUACAUCUCUCAUUUCCCUAUGACAUUAUAUAAUUUUAGAAAUUGAAGCGUGUACCUUUUACAUCUUUCCAGCAUGAAGAGGCGUUUUUGUAAAUAGUAAGCAUUUAAUAGUAUUAAAUUUAAUUAAUACUGGAUGAAUAAAUGCUAAGAUAACAGUCUCUGAUCCAACAAUUCACUUGCUUUACUACCUCCAAAAUGAUUAUCAGUGGUACUUUCUCUUCAUUUGCUGCUUGUCUCCAGACCCCCGAGUGGUGGAAUAAGUCAAAGCUGGCGAGAAAGACUGAAAGAAAGAUAUGAUUAACUGAUGAUAAGAGACGUAACCUCGUUCCUCUGAGAGUUAGGAGACAGUAAAGAGCAUGCACCUGUUUCAGAUAUGGUCUUUCUUCCUUGAGAACCCUGUUUUGGGAGUCAAGAGGGAAGGACAAUGAGUUUAGACUGAGACUUGCUGAGUUUAAGGGCCUGUGGGACAUCCAAGGGCAUGUGUCUACAAAAGAGGAUAUGCAAGUCUGAAGCCCAGCUGAGAAAUAGAGCUGGAGAUUUCCGCAGUUGUAAUCUAUACAUAGGAAUUAAAACUAUGACAAUGGAUGAGGCCACCCAGAAAGGUAGUGGAGGGAGAGGAGCAGUGGUUUAAAAAAGCCACCAGGGGAGUUCCCAUCAUGGCGCAGUGGUUAACGAACCCGACUAGUAUCCAUGAGGUUGCGGGGUCAAUCCCUGGCCUUGCUCAGUUGGUUAAGGAUCCGGUGUUGCCAUGAGCUGUGGUGUAGGUCACAGACAUGGCUUGGAUCCCGAGUUUGGCUGUGGCUGUGGUGUAGGCCAGCAGCUACAGCUCCGAUUCGACCCCUAGCCUGGGAACCUCCAUAUGCCAUGGGUACAGCCCUAGAAAGACAAAAAAAUAAAUAAAUAAAUAAAAAAGCCACCAGAAUUUGCAUGUAGAAAUCUGUCCUGGUAUAUAACAGGAGGGAUAUAACAGGAUUUCUUCCCGAGAGAGAAUCUAAGUGCUGUUUCUAAGGAGGGUUUGUAAGAACAUGUGUAUUAGCUAACGUGGAUGUCGGUCUCCUUCUCACUCCACUUAUUCCUUUGGUCCUAUUUUAUUCCUUCUUCUGUCCUUCCUUUGGGGGCUAUGCCUCAGGCCAUUCCUGUGGCACUUGCUUAUCCAGUUUUGGUCUCGUCUAGCUAACUCCACUCAUGAGCGAGUGUUUGAGUCCCAGCUGCAUGGCCAGGGGUGUCAUCCCUUGACACCUUCCUUUAGGACAAUUUUCUUCAUCACCUUCAGAGCUGAUCAGACUGGAUGGUAUGAAAGGCCUGGAAUUCGAUUCUUUCAUGUCCAAAGAGGUAGAAGGCAGGUCCCUUCAGGGUCAGGUGGCUGGACUCCAUUGCCAUGGAGCAUCAUUUUGUCCAAAGAGUCACUGAAGGACUCAGUUGAGGGAAAUAUCCUGUCUCUGCACUAAACCCCUCCUCAGUCCAUUGCUCCCUGCUAGUCUCCCCACACCUUCUCUGCCCUCAAGGAGGCUUUGGGAAUGUUUUCAUGUUUCAUGGCCAGGCCAGAAUGAGGGUUGAUGAAGCCUGGAGAGGCCAGGCCAUUACAACCAUAACAAGUUUCUCCUCUCUGAGCUCCACCAACAAAGGUCAUUUCUAAUAGAGCCAUUUUUACCCUAAUACUGAAUUUCCCAGUUUUUUCCUGCUUAGGGUGAUGCAAACAAAAGGAAGUUCUUUCAUUUCUCCUUUAUUUUCUAAAAUGUUAUUUCUUUCCCUUGCUUUUUUAUUUCUUUAUUUCUCCUUUGGUUCUUUCUUUAGCAGAAACCUAAGUCCAUCUUUUUGGGAUUGUCUGAUUAUUAGCAGAAGAGGCCAUCAAAAAUCUGAAAGUUUCCUCCUCUGCAGACUCCCAUCCAUUUUUUAAAAAUGAACUGUGAGAUACCAGCUUUCUUCAAGUACCUGCCUCCAUACUUUCAUCUUGGUAUUCUUCAAGUUACUAGGAAAAAAGAUGCCCCCCCCACCAUUUUUUUACUUAGUUACCUAAAAUGCCGAUGACACCUGCGUCAGUGAUUUUUAUGUAAAUUUCUAUUUAUAUAAAAUGAGAAAGGAGAAAUUCUGAAGUCAAGAGAAAACGUCUCUGCAACCCAUGUAUGGCCUAAAUGGGGUGUUCCAAAUGAAUGGUGGCCAGUGGCCAGCAGAGGUGCCUCCCGACUGUGUUUCAUUAAUUUCAGUCAGCUAUAGAAUUUGGAGAGAAAGAUAAUUUUCCUAUAAGCAUGUACAAGAAGUGCUUUGAGCUGUAAGCACCUAGCGGGCUUUGCCUUGCGUUAGAACAGCAUCAAUGGGAGACUUUAUAACCACUGUGGGCCUGUAUUUUUGGAGUCAGUUGAAGCUGCAGAUGGAAUGGAAAGAGAAGGUUUUUUUUUUUUUCCCCUUUCCUCUUUUCUUGACUUGCAGAACAAGCCUCCCUGGACCCCCUUGACCGACUGUUCAGUCUCCUGUUUAGUUCAAGUGUGCCCACACACUCGUUAUGGCAGGAUCUAAAGGGGUCUUUCUUACACAAAGCAUCUUUUCUACAGAUUUCUGGUAGUGGCUGUGGAAUGGGGCUGGCAUGUGAAAAGGUCUUGGAUCCACUCUCCCCCAAGGGUCUCACCCAAGGACACUGCUCUCAGGUCCUCAUCAUGGAGAAGGAGGAGGCACAUGUACAACAGGCCCACGUUGGGUUAGGAACCAAGGGGACACAAGGAACAGGGGUCCCCAUGGUCUUCCCAGUUCUGGAAAAUUUCAUAAUAAGAAAGGUAAGAGGACAUUCUAGCAUCACCAUCAUCAUAGGCCGAUUUUAUAACUUUGGCCUAGUGAUGGAGUUUCCCUGGCUUGUGGCCCUUAAGAGGCACCUCCGCAGAACACACAUUCCUGCCUAGCCCGGCUAUUGAUGGAAAGAGGUUGUGUGAGAGUAGGCAGGCCGAGAUCGGGGCACAGAUAGCAGGGAGAAAAACAAACAGUGGUGCCAGGAGUUCUUGUCUAGAACUCCUUGCCAGCCUUUUGUUCCAAAAAGCAUGAGUGAGUAUGCAGUAAAGAGAAAAAAAAAUGACGUGGCUGUUUAGCUUUUCAACAAAACUAUCAAACUAACUGUGAUGGAAUUUGUCCAGUUCAAGGACACAGACUCAACUACUUCCAAACUUUGCUUGGGGAUGCUCAACAAAACAGUUGUAAACAUCUUGCAUUAGUCCACACAGCAGUCCUCCAACAGGAUUUAAAGGCUCAGUCUCGGUGGGUGGGGAGAAAGACAGACAUUUUCCUUCCUACUAUUCUCUGUAUCUCAGGUCCAACUUAAUGCCAAAUUAAAUCUAGAUUUUUUUUUUUCAGUUGACUUUUACUGGAGGAAAAAAGGCAGAACUGCAUUUCCUGAAACAGAUAUUUCAAGGCCAGACUUACUACUUGGGUUGUUUUUCGUGUUUUUUUUUUUCCUCCUCUUCCUUUUUGCUAAUUCAAAACAAAAUGUCUAUCAUUCACUCUAACACCAGCAUUUAAGAGCUGGAGACAAAUGAAGUCUGAAUAUUCACGCCAACAUGGUACAAAUGAGCUGUGAUUUCAAGAUGCUGGCUGUUUCUCUGACAGGGGAAAAGAGAGGUUGACUAGUUUAGUAACUUUGGCUGAAAACACUUUGUUAGAGAGGAAUGGAGAAGGCCAGCGUUAAUAUCGAGUCCUGUUAUUUUGUGACAUACCGUGGAGUGGGGCAUCCUGGGUUUGGGGGAAAGUGUGUUUAUUGAAUUCGGAGGAUGUGGAGAGGGAGCGAAUGCAAAUCUAUGGCGGUCCUGAAGAAAGGACGCUUCUAAAAGCAUUUUCUCCAAGUUCUUCAAAGAACUCCUCCCCUAAGUAUAUUAUACACGUGAUUGUGAAUCUGAUUCCAUUACAGACUUAACAACCUUUAUAAACAUAAAGACAUUUAUUAUAAUGAGAGAUUCUGGGGAGUCUCUGCUGCCUCCCCCAGACUGCUGGCUAAUGGUUUAGAAAUACGAGAUGCAGUUGUAAGUUGAGGCUGAUGGGGGAGGCUUGUGACCGCUAUUAGCACCAUCUGUCCUUUCUCUUCUUCCUCAAACAUACGCAUUAGUCGCUUCUUAAAGAAUUUAUUCAUUCUUCAGCUAUACAUUGAAUUGGGACCUCUCCAUCGACUGCUCUAUUAAGUCUGGGCUGCGUUAGGAAUUCUAGGGUUCCUUCCCUCUUUCCUCUAACACAGACUCUUUUUAAAAAAUUCAGUGUCGUGGAAAAUUUGGUGACUCCAGUAAUGUAUUCACUGACGUAAACUGUGAUUUCUGAUACUUUUAUUUUUCAUUUGGCCUCAUCUUGGUAAAGAAUCAUAAUAUUUUAAAUCUCUCCACCCUAUCAUCCACCUAUCAUUCUUAAUUACGUGGUUUAUAGGCAAAACACAACAAUGCGCUGGCUAUAUCUAUAAUUCUACUUUUCUGAAAAUCGCUUUGAAGAUGCGUAGUUGCCUCUUGCCUUAUUUGUUUCCUAAAUUCUGAUUUUCAUGAGAAAUUUUUUUAAGGAGGGAUGUAAUUAUAGUAUCAAAGUAGUUGAAAAUUAAGAGCAAAGGAAGUGUUUUGGCAUUUUUAUUGGAAUGCUCAUGAGAAUCAAAGAUGAGAGACCCAUAGUGAUUCACCAUAAAAUCAAUGGCGCUUAAGACACAGAGCCCCUCACUUGGACAGGCCUCUGCCACUCACCUGCCUAAUUUCUUAUAGUUAACAUUGUAUUCUGUUUCUUAAAGGCCCCCCAAAUAAUUUUCAGGUCCCACAAAAUCUGAGUUCUUCCCUGUGAUUGACGCAAACAGAUAAACUGAGAUGGUUUUACUUCAUGUAUAAAGCUAAUUAAAUGAAUAAAGCAAAGAAAUAGUCCAAGUGUGAAGCACUGUAAUUUGUUUUAUAAGGCUUUGGAAGGAAUUCAUAUUAUUUUAUAAUGUGAACCCCACUUAAAUAAAAUAAUCAGUUUGCCAAAGCCCAAAUGAACAUAAACAAGAGAUCUGUUUUUAUUCAUUAAUAAACAUCAAAUAUGGACUCACCUUAACAUCAAGUAAACCAAAUCCUCCCAAUAGGAAGAAGUCUCUAGUAAGGGGCAUUUGCAGAGGAGCAAAGAUCCUUCAGGCAAUUACAUGGUCAUUUCAACAUCAAAGGUCUUGCCACAAGCUGCCUUGUAUUGUGCAUUUACAGGUUUUAUGAGACACAGCAUAGUGUUGUGAUUCAAAGGACAGCCUCUAGGACCAGGCUGCCUUCAUGUUCGUCCUAGCUCUCCUAUUUGCUAGCUCUUUGGCCUUGAGAAAAUGCCACACCUUCUCUGGGCCUCAAUCUUUGUAUCUAAAAUGAAAACAAUGAGAAUUGUUAUUAAGACUUAAACUGAUAUUUAUAAUAAGUUCUUGGAACUACGCUGAAUACAUAAUGCAUGCUAGAUAACCAUUGGCUAAAUAAAUAAACUUCUCCAUCUAGAGUGUACACUAAUAUGAAUUUACUUGUAGCUUCACCCUUGUAACUCCUCACAUUACCUAGCCUGGCACGUAAUUACCACCAAGGAAUAACUGUGUAAAUCAGGCAUCCCAAACCAGCAACCCAACCAGCAGGCCCACAAUGACCUGCAAAUGUGCUUUCUUUGCCCAGGAAUUCCUUAAAUUUUUGAAUUUGAAUUCUCUUAGGGUGCAUGCUUUCUCCAUUUCUGCAUAGGCCUCCCACUCCCCAAAUAUUUACCUCUUGGGUUCUUAAAAGCAUUUGAGUUUGUCAUUCCUGGUAUGAAUGAGUGAACACGUAAAGUGUGAGCACUCCUUCAGUUCACAGCAGUUUUAUGGCUCAUUGGAAAAGAGAGCUGGGACCAAUGAGCCAUUUCCACUCCCUGAGGCCCUACCUGCAGUGUUCUGAUCAGACUACCCAUUUUUAUUUCUAUUCUAGAUGUCCCAGAACAGAAGCAGAAAAUAGAUAAGUUGAAUAAGUGCCUUCACGAAGCAGAAAUGUGUGCUGCCUAUUGCUGGGACAUCAUUUCCGUCACGGACUGAGUCAGUCAAGGCUAGGUCAUGACCAGCUAGGUUAUGCUGGGGUCAGAACAGCUCAAAAUCUCAGUGACUUAAGCAACAAAGGCUGGUCGGUCGUGCUUUCUCUCUAAUUCUGGAUAGGCAGGGGUCUCUGGUCCACAUUAUUGUCAUCCUUACUUGGGGAUCCCAGAAGACAGCUACUAUCUGGAAAUAUUGUUGGUUACUAUGGCAGAGAGAGAGAAAAGAAAUCUCUGAAGGGUCUCAUAUCAAUGAUUGAAUGGUCUGUCCCAGAAGUGACACGGCACCUCUGUUCACAACUCAUUAACCAGAACGAGUCACUUGGCCCCAGCGGACAACAAGGAGGCCAGCAAGUACAAUUCUCUAAUGUGCCCAGAAAUGGUAAAACAGGGCAGACAGCACGAAUGGCCGUAGCUGUGGCUCUGUGGGAACUUGGACUUUCAGGCCAAAAGCUUUUCAAUAAGUUCAACUCAGCAGCCAUUCCCAUGCAUCUCUAAAGGCAGAGCAAAUCACCCAGCACUGCGAGGGAAUAUCAGAGGAGAUGCAGGCCCUGACACUGAGCAGCUUCACACUUGCUCAGGAGAAAGAGGUUAUAAAACAUUUGAAUAGCAAGGUCAUAUAGUAUCAGCUAUCAAAAAGAACAGUGCCAGUGAUGCUGCAGCAGUUGAAAGAGAGGAUGAAUCCAGAGUGAAGACAGGAUUGAGCUACACUCUAGAAAAAUAUAUGGGAUGUGCAGAAGGAGUGGAGGGCAUUUCAGGUUACAGAAGAGAGGAAACAGGGACAGAGAUAGAAAUACCGGGUGGAUUGUUGCAGGACUAAAGAGUUGGCCUGGCUCUGAGUUGUAUUUGCAUGUGAGGGUGGAGUCCGGAGAGGAGUCAGGUGUUGGGUACACGGGGAGCCAUUCCAUGGGGGGUCUCUGAGAUUGACAGAGGAAAAGGAGGAGGGGAUCAUCCUUCCUCACUAACCCCCUUCGAAUCCUAGGUCCCUAAACCUCCAAGGCAUCAGGUUAUUCCCCAAACCAAGAGUCGUAGCUGGAGUUCCCCCUCAUGGCUCAGUGGAAAUGAAUCUGACUAGCAUCCUUGAAGAUGCAGGUUCAAUCCCUGGCCUCACUCAGUGGUUUAACAAUCUGACACUGCUGUGAGUUGUGGUGUAGGUUGCAGAUGCGGCUUGGAUCCUGUGUUGCUGUGGCUGUGGUGUAGGCCAGUGGCUACAGCUCUGACUGGACCCCUAGCCUGGGAACCUCCAGCUGCCGUGGGUGCAGCCCUAAAAAGCAAAAAAAAAAAAAAAAAAAAAAAAAAAAAA
rnacentral:lncRNA from 1 species